rnacentral:lncRNA from 1 species
GGGGAGAGACUUACAUCAAACACCAAUGAUCUGAAUGCCAAGAGUUGCCAUAACAUAAGAAAAUAAAACAUAUUCCAUAAACAAAACAUUUUAAUAAUAGCUACUUACAUGUGUCUUUGGAUACAAUAGGUACACGAUAAAUAAAGAUACAAAAGUCAAAAUAAAGAGAAGUUUGAAGGAGAGUAAAAGGAAUCGCAAUGCAGUUUUAUUUGAAUCCAUGUAUGCAUGUACGUGCAUUCUUGUGUUCAGUUAUGACAAAGAGGGUUAGGAGGAAAGAGAAGUACCUGCUAUGCUGCUGCAUCUGGUUCUUUUCCUGGCAAGAGAAACAAAAUAAAAAAUGAAUAAGGUGCAUAAAUAACAUAGUGUUGCAAUGCUAAAGGAGGAAAAAAACAUUUACAAAAUUGAUUAUGAUUAUUAGUAACUAAAUACAUUCAGAAAAAAAUAAAAACCAUUCGCAUUAGGGCUAGGCGAUAUAACUGAACUGUUAGUUUGCAAAGAUCAAGCCAUGUCCCUAUAAGCAAUGCUGGUAGUGAUAGGGAAAAAAGAAAUAACAGUUCUGACAGAAUCACUUAUGAUUUGAUUGCACACUCAAAGUAGCGAGGCAAGAAAACAGUGCAUAGAU